rnacentral:rRNA from 1 species
AGUGAACGCUGGCGGUAGGCCUAACACAUGCAAGUCGAACGGCAGCACAGUAAGAGCUUGCUCUUACGGGUGGCGAGUGGCGGACGGGUGAGGAAUACAUCGGAAUCUACUUUUUCGUGGGGGAUAACGUAGGGAAACUUACGCUAAUACCGCAUACGACCUACGGGUGAAAGCAGGGGAUCUUCGGACCUUGCGCGAUUGAAUGAGCCGAUGUCGGAUUAGCUAGUUGGCGGGGUAAGGGCCCACCAAGGCGACGAUCCGUAGCUGGUCUGAGAGGAUGAUCAGCCACACUGGAACGGAGACACGGUCCAGACUCCUACGGGAGGCAGCAGUGGGGAAUAUUGGACAAUGGGCGCAAGCAUGAUCCAGCCAUACCGCGUGGGUGAAGAAGGCCUUCGGGUUGUAAAGCCCUUUUGUUGGGAAAGAAAAGCAGCAGGUUAAUACCCCGCUGUUCUGACGGUACCCAAAGAAUAAGCACCGGCUAACUUCGUG